CCGCCCUGCCACGUUGUUCGUCACGCCACGCCACUCUCUACCACACUGUACAGUACGAAGACGUUGUACUAAGACGUUAUAGCACAGCGCUGACUGAAUUCACGGUGCAAGAGAACUCGACUACACGCGAUCGACGAGCUAGUCGUCGUGGCUGCGGCCGCAGCUAGCAAAUUGUUUCAGUUCAUACUUUUCUAUACGUACCAAUAUGUUGAUAUCCACAGGAAUGGCUAGUCCAGGCCGUUGAAAUUCAUAUCUAAUGAUGAACAGACUGUCAAUCAUCUAAUCAGUGUGAUGAUUGGUUAUUUCAAGUAGACGAUUUGGUGUCUCAGUGCGAUGUGUUCUAAGUAGUAACAUGAUCGGUGAUGCACAUUCCUAUGCUUACUCUGCCAGUUAAGUCACGACACUAUACCCUCACCAUGGCUGGGUAGGAUAACUACCCAGACAGUUUGGCCGAUAAUUACACAUUUUCUCCCUUCAAUCGUCGGAAGCUGCACUUUGAGCCUAGAUCAUUUUAAGGAUGUUUUACCUGUACUGUCAUUGCCCACAACAUUGACCUUUGGACUUUGACUGUUUCGUGUAAUAAUCAAUAAAUUAAUCACGUACAUCAUAAAGACAAAUGAGGAACUGGAGAUUUGUUGGGAUCAUUUUCAUUGAGAGAAACUGCUUUAGAUGUUAACAGCUUUAAAGGAUGGUUUCUACUUCGUUAUUCUUCCUUUUUUCAUGAUUCAUUCUCCCAAGACAGAUUACUUACAAAACAUGCCAAUUUAAUGUUUACAAAACAUUUCACUAGACAAAUUGGUAUGUGAGGAUGAUUUUUGGCAAUUUAUUUCUGGAGUAUGUUGAGAGCUCGUCUGAGAUAUUUCAAUUUUUUCAAAUUUCCUGCUUUCAUCAAAUAACAUCCCAGUUGAGCAACAUCUGAGAACAAUAACAUGAUACCGACAAGUAACAAGUAUGACUAAUUUAUAUGUUCAGUAUUCAACAUGUUCGAAUGGGAAUCAGUAUGUCACGCUCGUAAAGUCGACGUCGAGAGAAAGACAAGAAAUGAGCUCUAGUCACAUUAGGAUGUUUUGGAUGGAGAGAUGAUUUAUGGAUCUCGAAUUUCACAGUCGUUUGUCUACCUUGAUUGCUCAAACAGUGAGCAAUACAAAUAUACGAUAAAUAAUGAUAAUAUAUUAUGAACAACAUAGUGAAUUAAAUUAUUAAAGUAAAGUAAGAUAAAUAGAGAAGUCUCAGUACAAACAGUGAGACAUCUGACAGUUUCAUCAAUGAACACGUGCCAUGUGCAAUAUCAUGAUGAUCUUCUGGGCGAGCAGCAGCUUUCUCAAUGUCAACAGAGUCUCUCAGUCUCUCAGCAUCAGACAGUUUAUUUCACUGGUGUAUUUUGUCUCGAGCAACAGUUACCCAGCAAGUUCAUAGCUAACUUGGAGGCACAACGUCUCUUGAAGACAACAAUCAAUGUCUACCAUAUGUAUUUCUAUGAAGUAGUGUGAAAUGUGUUUUACAAGAUGAGACUGUCGAUAACUUUUCAAGAACUGUACUUUUAGCAGCAGCUGUAGUUACAAACUGUCUAGUAAUAUGGAACAAAUAGAUUGGGUUGUCUCUGUACUUCAGUA